GCCGUGGGGGACAAAAUUGAGAAUUCGAAGGCCAGCCAGGGACAAAAUAGUCCAGUCGGGCUCCGCCGUGGAGGCCGAACUCACUCCCGCUUUUGUAUGCUUCGUGACGACCUAUACAUACACCACCACCACCGCGCCCCCAGCCCAUAGGUCCGUCUCCUCUCCUCCUCUGCAAGUCUCUCUCUCUCUCUCUCUCUAAACUUCUUCUUCUUCUUCUAGACGCUCUCUGCUGACCGGCGCGUUGGAGUUCACAGCCGUCUCUGUGACCUCUCUCGUUCGCGCUGUCCUCCUCUCCCGGUCGAGGAAUUCUUCUAAUUCCACCUGUUCAAGCAAAGCAACCUCUCAGUCGCCGUCGGUUGCAUAUAAGUCCACAUACGCACGCAUAUAUGCCCGCUACGCUCUGUUUCGGCGGUGAUAUUGUAGGAUAACCAGUGUGUUUCCAUGGCGACCGCUCCGGUGAAGUCUCAGCCGCUCCACAACUUCUCCCUACCUAACUUCCUUAGGUGGGGCGGCGGGAGCAACGGCCACCACCCGCGCUUCCGCCGGUCGGCUAUGGCGGGUGAGUCGGCCUCUGCGGAGACGGACUCCGACAGGAACGAGUCCGACCCCGAUUCCCGCCCCAUCAGGGCCGGAUCACGCCACAGCCACCGGUUCCUCUUCGGCGCGGGCUCCUCGGGGAACCUUGACAAGCCGCGGGGCCAGUCCCCGGACCUGAAGGAGGAGAAUCAGAGGAUCAGCGGAAGAAAUGGCAAAAUCAGCUCCAAGAACGACGGGAACGAGAGCGAGGGAGCUGAGGAGGCGGAGGCGGAGGCUGAGGCGCAGGAGGAGGCGGUGCAGAGGCCGUGGAACCUGAGGCCGAGGAGAGCGAACCCGUCACCCAGGGUCGGAGAGUUCAGUGAGGCGGCCGCUGCCGUAGCUCAGUCUCCGGGCGAGAACCAGCAGCCAAAGUCGACGCGUCUUCGGGGGUUAGCUGAGACGUCAGCGGUGGCAGGUGGAGAGAGGAAGGAGAAGAGGAGGUUCUGGAUAGCGCUGUCGAAGGAGGAGAUAGAGGAAGACAUCUUCGUGAUGACCGGGUCGAGGCCAGCUCGGAGGCCGAAGAAGAGGGCCAAGCAUGUGCAGAAGCAGCUUAAUAGUAUUUUUCCUGGUUUGUGGCUGGUGGGGGCUUCUGCGGACGACUGUCGGCAAACUGAUGCUCAGGCGAAGAAAUAAUGGUGGCAAAGAAGAUGCUCGAAUCAUGUAUCUUCUCUUAGGGUAUGCUUGAUUUGGUAAUGCAAUCUUCUGAUGUUGGAAAGCUUGUUGGAGGAUAGAGGAAUAGAGAUUUCGCCGAUGGAACCAUCAAACCUUGGUGGGAGGUAUAAUGUAGUGAACAGAAAUGGGAGCGCUGAAUUAUAACGAACAGGAAAUUUGGGUUAAAAUCUUUUGCCAUUUUCUCUUUUUUGUUUAUUCCUCUGCCUUCCCUCUUUUAACAUUGCACACCCUUGGGGGAUUGUCCAGAGCAAAGUUUAGAUGGUCUACAGUGUUGGCUGUUUAUAUAUUGUAAAAAGUUGAAGUUGUGGAUGAAUUAAUAGACAUUGUCUCAGUCCUUUUAAUCUUAACACGCUUUGAAGGCUACCA